rnacentral:pre_miRNA from 1 species
AAAGUACUCCCUCCGUCCCAAAAUUCUUGUCUUAGAUUUGUCUAGAUACGGAUGUAUCAAGUCACAUUUUAGUAUUAGAUAUAUCCGUAUCUAGACAAAUCUAAGACAAGAAAUUUGGGACAGAGGGAGUAGUUG